UCCGAGUUGACCCCGGCAGUCUCCCAUGAGUCCCCGGCAUAACCCGCUGGCAACAUGGAACGAGGGUUGCGCUCGUUGCGGGACUUAACCCAACAUCUCACGACACGAGCUGACGACAACCAUGCACCACCUGUAAACCGGCCACAAGUGGCUGACACAUCUCUGUGGCUUUUCCUGCGUAGUUCAACCCAGGUAAGGUUCUUCGCGUUGCAUCGAAUUAAGCAACAUGCUCCGCCGCUUGUGCGGGCCCCCGUCAAUUCCUUUGAGUUUUAACCUUGCGGCCGUACUCCCCAGGCGGUCAACUUCACGCGUUAGCUUCGUUACCAAGGAAUUGCUUCCCCGACAACCAGUUGACAUAGUUUAGGGCGUGGACUAC
rnacentral:misc_RNA from 1 species